UUCUCGAGGCUUGGGAAGGAGGAGGGACCGGAGGUGCGGCGGCCAGCUUCAGCGAAAGCUACAGGCCGUGGCGUCGGUGAUCCCGGGUCAUCAGCUAGAAACGUUCCCUUUGCGAAGGGUUCAGAGGAAGAAUGUGAUUUCUUCACGGCUGGAGAGCAUGAUCCAGGUACUCUGGCGGGCGAAAUGUAAAGACACCUAUGUGCCAUGGCUGACGUUGCGCAGGAACAUCAUAGAGAGAGAGGAUUUGAAAAGAUUCGCCACAGAUUCCCUGAGCCCCUGGCGUGACUGCUUAUUGCACUGAAGGCAGGAGGCAGCCCCUGCUGCUGCCUCACGAAGGAUGUGAGCAAAGAAGAAAAACAAAAUCCAAGGGGGCAGAAGGGGAUCGAUCCUUGAGAGCAGGUGGAGCCUGUGCUGGGUGGACCCACCUGGAUGCCUGCAUGACCCAGGGCAGCAGCUUUGAUCCCUCCUGCAGCUACCAACCACUGGUCUGAUGCUGCACUCCACCAGAAAGCAGGAGGAGGCUUCAAUCCACUCUUCUACUGAGUCCCAUGUAAAAGAUGCCAGGCUUGACCACUGAAAGCAACACUGUCUGCAUUUAGCCGACCUCAAACUGGAGGACGAGUCAU